rnacentral:rRNA from 1 species
AGCGAACGCUGGCGGCAGGCUUAACACAUGCAAGUCGAACGGGCGUAGCAAUACGUCAGUGGCAGACGGGUGAGUAACGCGUGGGAACGUACCUUUUGGUUCGGAACAACCCAGGGAAACUUGGGCUAAUACCGGAUAAGCCCUUACGGGGAAAGAUUUAUCGCCGAAAGAUCGGCCCGCGUCUGAUUAGCUAGUUGGUGUGGUAACGGCGCACCAAGGCGACGAUCAGUAGCUGGUCUGAGAGGAUGAUCAGCCACAUUGGGACUGAGACACGGCCCAAACUCCUACGGGAGGCAGCAGUGGGGAAUAUUGGACAAUGGGCGCAAGCCUGAUCCAGCCAUGCCGCGUGAGUGAUGAAGGCCCUAGGGUUGUAAAGCUCUUUUGUGCGGGAAGAUAAUGACGGUACCGCAAGAAUAAGCCCCGGCUAACUUCGUGCCAGCCGUCGCCGUAAU